UAUGUACAAGUACUUAUAUAACAUACACAUGCAUGGAUCAUAUAAAUUAGUAUUCAAUAAUCAGAAGAAUAUAUCAGCUAUGGAAGGUAAUAUCCGCCAUAAUAUAAAUUGCUAAAAUACACACUACAGGGUUGCCAGCACUCUGGGUGAAUAAAAUUCCCUGACUUUUCCCUGACCAAUUCAUGUUUUUUACUGACCAAAACCGCCAAACAUUUAAAUGGCCUCCUGACCUCCCCUAUAGCCGUC
rnacentral:lncRNA from 1 species